AUACGGAGGGUGCGAGCGUUGUUCGGAAUCAUUGGGCGUAAAGCGCGUGUAGGCGGCUUGGAAAGUCGGAUGUGAAAGCCCGGGGCUCAACCCCGGAACUGCACUCGAAACUGCCCAGCUAGAGUCUCGGAGAGGAGGGCGGAAUUCCCGGUGUAGAGGUGAAAUUCGUAGAUAUCGGGAGGAACACCAGUGGCGAAGGCGGCCCUCUGGACGAUGACUGACGCUGAGACGCGAAAGCGUGGGGAGCAAACAGGAUUAGAAACCCCAGUAGUCC
rnacentral:rRNA from 1 species